ACCCCAUAGAUAUUCAAUGCUGGAAGGCUUGGAUAUCGAAAGCGCAAGCGCCAGAGGGUGAGUCUGCGGCCUAUCAGGUAGUAGGUGGUGUAACGGACCACCUAGCCUAAGACGGGUACGGGCCUUGAGAGAGGGAGCCCGGAGAUGGGUUCUGAGACACGAACCCAGGCCCUACGGGGCGCAGCAGGCGCGAAACCUUCGCACUGCGCGAAAGCGCGACGAGGGGAGCCCGAGUGCCUCUCCAUUUCGGGGAGGCUUUUCACAAGCCUAAAAAGCUUGUGGAAUAAGGGCUGGGCAAGACGGGUGCCAGCCGCCGCGGUAAUACCCGCAGCUCGAGUGGUGGUCGCUUUUAUUGAGCCUAAAACGUUCGUAGUCGGCCUUGUAAAUCCCUGGGUAAAUCGGACCGCUUAACGGUUCGAAUUCCGGGGAGACUGCAAGGCUAGGGACCGGGCGAGGUCAGAGGUACUUUCGGGGUAGGAGUGAAAUCCUGUAAUCCCGAAGGGACCACCUGUGGCGAAAGCGUCUGACUUGAACGGCUCCGACGAUGAGGAACGAAGGCUAGGGGAGCAAACCAGAUUAGAUACCCGGGUAGUCCUAGCUGUAAACUCUGCCCGCUUGGUGUGGCCUGUCCUUCGGGGGCAGGCUGUGCCGGAGCGAAGGUGUUAAGCGGGCUGCUUGGGGAGUACGGCCGCAAGGUUGAAACUUAAAGGAAUUGGCGGGGGAACAGGGCAACGGGAGGAUGCGUGCGGUUUAA
rnacentral:rRNA from 1 species